GAAACUUCCAAUGAAAAGGAUGGCAGAUAAUGAAGAGAAUGCUUUAGGGGAAACACUGGGGAAGAAUACAGAAAUCGAUCAAAGCACCGAGCAGACAGAAGCACCCCCAGAAACAACAAAAGAAGAUGAACCAGAGAUCGUAGAAACUCCUGUAGAUGUGGCACUGGAAGAUGGUCAGUCAGCAGUCAUUAUGGAGAAUGAAUUGGAGUCUACAGUUGAUAGCAGUAAAACUGUACCAGAAGGAACAGAGGAAAACGCAGAAAUAACUGAACUAUCUGAGGACAUUACAGUAGGAGAAGAAACAAUUGAAGAAUCUUCUAAAGUGGAUAGUGACAGUCUUAACGACACACAAAAACUUUCUCCUGAAAAGGGAGACAGAUCUCAGACGAAUGGGCAACCUUACCAGAAUGAUCCCACUGAAGAGGAAUCAGAAGAUUUAAGUGAAAUUGAAAACCAAAGUAUAAGAGUACAAGAAAGUCUUAAUAUAGGAGAAUUUCUCUAUGAAGCAAGACGAGAAGAAAGAAAAUCUUUACUUCCGAUUGAAAAAAAAAUGGAAUCCCCAGCUGAUCAAUCAAAUAUCUCGUUGGUGACCUCUUCUACGCAGGAGUCUUUAUUUGAAGAGAAGGAUGAAAAAAUCAAAACAUAUCCUCUGGUAAGUAUUAUGCUAUAUAUUUCGCACUGUUAUAAGCUUAUACGAUGAGGCAUUUACAGAUAUGAAAAAGCAUUUUUCAUCAAAGAAAAUUUCUUUUCAUUUCAUUAUUUAUGUUAUGGCCUGCUCUAUUUCAGUUUUUGACUGCCCAUUGCUGAAAAAUGGAGAUGGAUGUCAGAUCAUGAAGUGUAAAAUCUGUGUCAGUAUUCAACUCCAUCUCCCUGCAGACAGGAAAUUGCUGGCAUAUUUUGCCUAUUACAUAUGGUGCUCUUUUGUUAAGGAUCUGCACAAAAUCUCAUCUCUCUUCGAGUUGUGACACCUUUCCCUCAUUCUUUUUUUUACUUCCUUUUCACUCUCUUCCUUUCUCCUGGCACCUUCCUUCCCCACAAAGCCUUCACAAUCUUAGCUGCUAAGAUAAUGGAAAGUGAGAAGUGUAACAAAACUAAAACUGUUGAAAAGCAUCAAGCUUUUUCCAAAGAGCUCACCGUGCCAAGGCUGAAAAUAUUCUUGGAGGAACCAUCUGUCAGGAGCAACAAUAUUCUCAUUCACCAAAAGAAGAAGUGUAUGUGGUUAAAAUCCACUAACAUUUUGGAAAAUUAUAUGUUUACUUACCAGUUUCCAGAGCUAUUCUCACCUUUUGUAGCUUUUGGAGUAACCUUAGUGCUGAAGAAAGGUCCCUAAUGGAAAACUUUGAGGAUAAAGCCUUGAGCUGAGCAGCAAAUCUGACUUGAGUGCCCUAUUGGUGCUUAACUCAACUUGAUGGAGUCAGCAAAUCUGACUUGAGCACUAAGUGCUGUAUUAGAGCACCUUUAGGGUGCUUACUACUGUAGUAGGUGCCUGGAGGUCAUGAUAAAAAUUCUUACAAUGGGGGAACCUAUUUAAUAAGGAAUAAUAAUAAUAAUAAUGUUGGUAUUUGUUAAGCGCUUACUAUGUGCCGAGCACUGUUCUAAGCGCUGGGGUAGACACAGGGGAAUCAGGUUGUCCCACGUGGGGCUUACAGUCUUAAUCCGCAUUUUACAGAUGAGGUAACUGAGGCACCGAGAAGUUAAGUGACUUGCCCAAAGUCACACAGCUGACAAGUGGAUGAGCCGGGAUUCGAACCCAUGACCUCUGACUCCAAAGCCCGUGCUCUUUCCACUGAGCCACGCUGCUUCUCUAAUACUAUGCAGACAAACAUAAAAUCUACAUAAAUAUAUGUAAAUGAAGUGGUUUAAU
rnacentral:lncRNA from 1 species